rnacentral:rRNA from 1 species
AGAGUUUGAUCAUGGCUCAGGACGAACGCUGGCGGCGUGCUUAACACAUGCAAGUCGGGCGGUAAGGCCCUUUCGGGGGUACACGAGCGGCGAACGGGUGAGUAACACGUGGGUGACCUGCCCUCAGCUCUGGGAUAAGCCUGGGAAACCGGGUCUAAUACUGGAUAUGACCUCAUGCUGCAUGGUGUGGGGUGGAAAGCCUUGUGCGGCUGGGGAUGGGCCCGCGGCCUAUCAGCUUGUUGGUGGGGUGAUGGCCUACCAAGGCGACGACGGGUAGCCGGCCUGAGAGGGCGAUCGGCCACACUGGGACUGAGACACGGCCCAGACUCCUACGGGAGGCAGCAGUGGGGAAUCUUGCGCAAUGGGCGAAAGCCUGACGCAGCGACGCCGCGUGAGGGAUGACGGCCUUCGGGUUGUAAACCUCUUUCAGCCCUGACGAAGCGAGAGUGACGGUAGGGGCAGAAGAAGCACCGGCCAACUACGUGCCAGCAGCCGCGGUAAUACGUAGGGUGCAAGCGUUGUCCGGAAUUAUUGGGCGUAAAGAGCUCGUAGGCGGUCUGUCGCGUCGGCUGUGAAAACUCGGGGCUCAACCCCAAGCUUGCAGUCGAUACGGGCAGGCUGGAGUUCGGCAGGGGAGACUGGAAUUCCUGGUGUAGCGGUGAAAUGCGUAGACGCAUUUCACCGCUA